GAUUCACUCUCACAUCUUUUGACCUUUUUCCUCAUGGGUUCUCUUCACCCAAAUUCAUUGAUCAAAUUUAUUUUCCACCUUUCCUCCAAAAAUUAUGUUCUCUGUUACUUAUUCUCCAUGCUAAAAAGUUAUAUCUUGAUUUUUCGAUGAAAAUUUUCAGUACUUCUUAGGUCUUAGAGGUUAAAAGACACCAGAAUAUCCUUGGUGAUUUCUUCUUAUGCCAUUUAAGUAUGUGCGAAUUUCAGUUCCAAUUCCAGAAUUCUAGAACCAACAAGAGAGUUUUUGGGGAAAAAGGAGGGUUAUGAAAGAAGUCGAAUGCUGAUGGUGCUAGGUUGAUUUAUCAGUUUGCUUGAAAGCAUACAUGCUAUUGUGACCAACACUACCGUGGAGAUCAUGGUUCCUCGAGAUGUUCUUAACUUUGAAUAUGCAAGAAUUGAAGCACAAGUAUGUUAGCACAUACCUUUUCCUUUUAUUAAUCGGUGUAGCGGGAAGACACAAGAUAAUUCAAAAUUGUACCUCGACUUCUUAGUUUAAGAACUUGAGAAAGUAAUCAAAAGAUGGCUUUUCAAGAUCGACAGCUCAGCAUGAGAUCGUCUGAAAUAGAACUUCUAAUAUACCUGACGCUGCUUGUGUGAUUAAGUUUAAGAUUAUGUUGGCUCAAAUUUCUCAAUUGGAAAAUCUCUUUUUGUUCAUGCUA